rnacentral:rRNA from 1 species
UACGUAGGCAGCGAGCGUUGUUCGGAGUUACUGGGCGUAAAGGGUGUGUAGGCGGUUCUUUAAGUUUGGUGUGAAAUCUCCCGGCUCAACUGGGAGGGUGCGCCGAAUACUGAGGGACUAGAGUGCGGGAGAGGAAAGUGGAAUUCCUGGUGUAGAGGUGAAAUUCGUAGAUAUUGGGAAGAACACCGGUGGCGAAGGCGGCUCACUGGCUCGUAACUGACGCUCAUGCACGACAGCGUGGGGAUCAAACAGG